rnacentral:pre_miRNA from 1 species
GGGGGGAGGCCGGAUCUUGGGCUGUGUCCUGGCGCCCAGUGCUCCUGGGCCUGCACUUGGAUUCGCGCUCCAUACCCCGCAGCCCCCU